CGGCGGACGGGUGAGUAACACGUGGGUAAACCUGCCCAUAAGAACUGGGAUAACUCCGGGAAACCGGGGCUAAUACCGGAUAAUAUUUUGAACCGCAUGGUUCGAAAUUGAAAGGCGGCUUCGGCUGUCACUUAUGGAUGGACCCGCGUCGCAUUAGCUAGUUGGUGAGGUAACGGCUCACCAAGGCAACGAUGCGUAGCCGACCUGAGAGGGUGAUCGGCCACACUGGGACUGAGACACGGCCCAGACUCCUACGGGAGGCAGCAGUAGGGAAUCUUCCGCAAUGGACGAAAGUCUGACGGAGCAACGCCGCGUGAGUGAUGAAGGCUUUCGGGUCGUAAAACUCUGUUGUUAGGGAAGAACAAGUGCUAGUUGAAUAAGCUGGCACCUUGACGGUACCUAACCAGAAAGCCACGGCUAACUACGUGCCAGCAGCCGCGGUAAUACGUAGGUGGCAAGCGUUAUCCGGAAUUAUUGGGCGUAAAGCGCGCGCAGGUGGUUUCUUAAGUCUGAUGUGAAAGCCCACGGCUCAACCGUGGAGGGUCAUUGGAAACUGGGAGACUUGAGUGCAGAAGAGGAAAGUGGAAUUCCAUGUGUAGCGGUGAAAUGCGUAGAGAUAUGGAGGAACACCAGUGGCGAAGGCGACUUUCUGGUCUGUAACUGACACUGAGGCGCGAAAGCGUGGG
rnacentral:rRNA from 1 species